rnacentral:rRNA from 1 species
UGCUGCCUCCCGUAGACCCCCCGUGCCCCCGCCCCGCCCGCCGCGCGCGGCGGGCGGGGCGGGGGCACGGGGGGCCUACGGGAGGCAGCAGUGGGGAAUAUUGCACAAUGGGCGCAAGCCUGAUGCAGCCAUGCCGCGUGUAUGAAGAAGGCCUUCGGGUUGUAAAGUACUUUCAGCGAGGAGGAAGGCAUUAAGGUUAAUAACCUUAGUGAUUGACGUACUCGCAGAA